AGAGAGCGUCGAUGGUAGCACAUGUUGAUUCUGAGAUAAGACAUUAUGGCCAGAGUCAGUCAGGCCUGGAGCAUAACAAAUGACUAUCUGCUCCUCGUUGCAGACUCCACGUUGUAUCACUUCCUGUAUCACCUGUAACAAGGGCCUGGAUUUUAUGGGGGGCCGCAGUCCCAUUGCCCCCAGCUAUAAAUAGUCAGGGGGAGCCCACCCACAAUCCCCCGAUGGCUGCCCUGCAACAAUUUAACACCGGGAGCAGUGUUACUUACUUUAAAGUGAGACUUCUGCCCCAUUAUCAGGAGAAAGUCCCACCUUAGUGAGCUGUUGGCCAUUUGCCAGGAGUGGUGGCCACUCCUGAGUCUACAGGCUGUCCCCCCACGCUGAUGAGCCCAGAUAGCCAAGGGAAGGGAGUCAGGUGAUGGGUAAGGGAAAAGGUACAAAAUGCCUCAAAGUUCAAUGACAAUUCCCUGAGAGUCCUCCUCCAGACUGUAAGUGACCAGCAGAAAGUCCUCAUGCCUGCUAACAGAAAGAGGAGAUCUCCCAGCCUGACCAAAGCAGCCUGGAUGGAGCUUGUAGCGGAGGUAAGAAGCUUUGGGGUCAUCCAAGGAACCUGGAUUCCAGUGCCCCAAGCCUUCUACGAAAUGCAAGGCUGUCUGCCUCCAUGAUUGGACACAAUGAUUCCUUGGACGCCGUGCCUUACUGCAAGCUCAGCAUCCUCCUUAGUCAGGAUGCCCUUCAGAAUGAUCGGAAGAUCAGUCAAGGACCGUAGCCAUUGGAUAUCCUUCCAGUUUACCGAUGGGUCCAAGACAUCAUUGUAAAGAGGAACAUUGUCAUGACGAUCUUUAUCUUUCUGCGCCACAAAAUUAUGUGAGGAAUGUGUUAUUUAUGUAUGAAAAUAUAUUUGCUUGUCUUUGAUAUUCUGUGAAAAAGAUGGUGCAAAGGCCAUUACAUCAAAAUAUUGUGAUCAAAAAUGUAAAGUGAAUGUGGGCGAAUAGAGUUAGUGUUUUUGGAAAUCUAAAAUAUUUUAAUUUUCUGUUACUAUAUACAACUAUCUGUGCAUAUUUAUAUUGUUGUUAAAGUCUAUAACAAAAAAAUUAUAUUGAUAUAUCCAUUCAAUCCAUUAUCCCUCAUUUCAGUACUGAGUUGUUGCAAGAUUACAACAAUCUCUCAGGUUUCCUUGGAAGCAGUUACCCAUGACUCCAUUGUCCAGACAUUUUUAUUAUUCUCAAAUGCUACAUCAUACAUGAAGAAAUUCAAACCAGAUUCCUUCAUGUCCUGAGGCAUGUCACUGGCUCCAGACCUAAUCCACAGAGACUUCCUUGUAUCACUGGAAAAACUGAAAUAGGUGUGUGACAUUUAAACAAGGCAGAUAUUUUUCAUUUGUAUAUUAUUGGCUAAAAUGAACAGAACUAAAUUAAACAUUUUUGUUUCUGA